CCUACGGGUGGCUGCAGUGGGGAAUAUUGCACAAUGGGGGAAACCCUGAUGCAGCAACGCCGCGUGGGUGAAGAAGUAUUUCGGUAUGUAAAGCUCUAUCAGCAGGGAAGAAGAUGACGGUACCUGAGGAAGAAGCCCCGGCUAACUACGUGCCAGCAGCCGCGGUAAUACGUAGGGGGCAAGCGUUAUCCGGAUUUACUGGGUGUAAAGGGAGCGUAGACGGUGAGACAAGUCUGAAGUGAAAGCCUGGAGCUUAACCCCAGGACUGCUUUGGAAACUGCCUGACUGGAGUGCUGGAGAGGUAAGUGGAAUUCCUAGUGUAGGGGUGAAAUGCGUAGAUAUUAGGAAGAACACUAGUGGCGAAGGCGGCCUGCUGGAACGUAACUGACGUUGAGGCACGAAAGCGUGGGGAGCAAACAGGAUUAGAUACCCCAGUAGUC
rnacentral:rRNA from 1 species